GACGAACGCCGGCGGCGUGCCUAAUACAUGCAAGUCGAGCGGAUCGUUCCUUCGGGGAUGGUUAGCGGCGGACGGGUGAGUAACACGUAGGCAACCUGCCUGUAAGAUCGGGAUAACUACCGGAAACGGUAGCUAAGACCGGAUGAGUGAUUUUCUCGCAUGAGGAGAUCAAGAAACACGGGGCAACCUGUGGCUUACAGAUGGGCCUGCGGCGCAUUAGCUAGUAGGUGGGGUAACGGCUCACCUAGGCGACGAUGCGUAGCCGACCUGAGAGGGUGAUCGGCCACACUGGGACUGAGACACGGCCCAGACUCCUACGGGAGGCAGCAGUAGGGAAUCUUCCGCAAUGGACGCAAGUCUGACGGAGCAACGCCGCGUGAGUGAUGAAGGUUUUCGGAUCGUAAAGCUCUGUUGCCCUAGACGAACAGCGAGGAGAGUAACUGCUCUUCGUGUGACGGUAUAGGAGAAGAAAGCCCCGGCUAACUACGUGCCAGCAGCCGCGGUAAUACGUAGGGGGCAAGCGUUGUCCGGAAUUAUUGGGCGUAAAGCGCGCGCAGGCGGCUGUUUAAGUCUGAUGUUUAAGCCCGGGGCUCAACCCCGGUUCGCAUUGGAAACUGGACGGCUUGAGUGCAGGAGAGGAAAGCGGAAUUCCACGUGUAGCGGUGAAAUGCGUAGAGAUGUGGAGGAACACCAGUGGCGAAGGCGGCUUUCUGGCCUGUAACUGACGCUGAGGCGCGAAAGCGUGGGGAGCAAACAGGAUUAGAUACCCUGGUAGUCCACGCCGUAAACGAUGAGUGCUAGGUGUUGGGGGUUUCGAUACCCUCGGUGCCGAAGUNAACACAGUAAGCA
rnacentral:rRNA from 1 species